rnacentral:rRNA from 1 species
CCUACGGGAGGCUGCAGUGGGGAAUAUUGGACAAUGGGGGCAACCCUGAUCCAGCCAUGCCGCGUGUGUGAAGAAGGCCCUCGGGUUGUAAAGCACUUUCAGUGAGGAAGAACGCCUGGUGGUUAAUACCCAUCAGGAAAGACAUCACUCACAGAAGAAGCACCGGCUAACUCCGUGCCAGCAGCCGCGGUAAUACGGAGGGUGCGAGCGUUAAUCGGAAUUACUGGGCGUAAAGCGCGCGUAGGUGGCUUGAUAAGCCGGUUGUGAAAGCCCGGGCUCAACCUGGGAACGGCAUCCGGAACUGUCAAGCUAGAGUGCAGGAGAGGAAGGUAGAAUUCCCGGUGUAGCGGUGAAAUGCGUAGAGAUCGGGAGGAAUACCAGUGGCGAAGGCGGCCUUCUGGACUGACACUGACACUGAGGUGCGAAAGCGUGGGUAGCAAACAGGAUUAGAUACCCCUGUAGUC